UUGGAGGGCAAGUCUGGUGCCAGCAGCCGCGGUAAUUCCAGCUCCAAUAGCGUAUAUUAAAGUUGUUGCAGUUAAAAAGCUCGUAGUUGAAUUUCGGGAUCAAUUUAUUGGUCGUGCUAUUGUACGUACUGGUAUUAUUGAUUCCUACCUUCUGACGAACCAUGAUGUCAUUAAUUUGGUGUCAUGGGGAAUCAGGACUGUUACUUUGAAAAAAUUAGAGUGUUUAAAGCAGGCUCACGCUUGAAUACAUUAGCAUGGAAUAACGAAAUAGGACGUUUGAUUCUAUUUUGUUGGUUUCUAGGAUCGACGUAAUGAUUAAUAGGGAUAGUUGGGGGCAUUAGUAUUCAAUUGUCAGAGGUGAAAUUCUUGGAUUUAUUGAAGACUAACUACUGCGAAAGCAUUUGCCAAGGAUGUUUUCAUUAAUCAAGAACGAAAGUUAGGGGAUCGAAGACGAUCAGAUACCGUCGUAGUCUUAACCAUAAACUAUGCCGACUAGGGAUCGGACGAAGUUAAUUUUUUAAUGACUCGUUCGGCGCCUUACGGGAAAC
rnacentral:rRNA from 1 species